CCUACGGGAGGCAGCAGUGGGGAAUAUUGCGCAAUGGGCGAAAGCCUGACGCAGCGACGCCGCGUGAGGGAUGAAGGUCUUCGGAUCGUAAACCUCUGUCAGCAGGGCAGAACGGUCACUGUGCUAAUCAGCAGUGAAUUGACGGUACCUGCAAAGGAAGCACCGGCUAACUCCGUGCCAGCAGCCGCGGUAAUACGGAGGGUGCGAGCGUUAAUCGGAAUUACUGGGCGUAAAGCGCUCGUAGGCGGUAUGUCAAGUCAACGGUGAAAGCCCCGCGCUCAACGUGGGAACUGCCUUUGAAACGGGCAAACUGGAGUGUGUGAGAGGAUAGUGGAAUUCCAGGUGUAGGAGUGAAAUCCGUAGAUAUCUGGAGGAACAUCAGUGGCGAAGGCGACUAUCUGGCACAUAACUGACGCUGAGGAGCGAAAGCGUGGGUAGCAAACAGGAUUAGAUACCCUUGUAGUC
rnacentral:rRNA from 1 species